rnacentral:misc_RNA from 1 species
GAUGAAGAACGUAGCGAAAUGCGAUACGUAAUGUGAAUUGCAGAAUUCAGUGAAUCAUCGAAUCUUUGAACGCAUAUUGCGCUCUCUGGUAUUCCGGAGAGCAUGCUUGUUUGAGUAUUAGUAAACACCUCAACUUCCAUAUCUUUUUUGAAAUGGGAGUUGGACUUGAGUGAUCCCAACGCUUUUCCUCACCGAAAAGUGGCGGGUUACUUGAAAUGCAGGUGCAGCUGGACUUUUCUCUGAGCUAUAAGCAUAUCUAUUUAGUCUGCCUAAAAAACAGAUUAUUACCUUUGCUGCAGCUAACAUAAAGGAGAUUAGUUCUUGUGCUGACUGAUGCAGGAUUCACAAAGACAGGCUUCGGCCGACUUUGUAAACUCGAUCUCAAAUCAAGUAAGACUACCCGCUGAACUUAAGCAUAUCAAUAAGCGGAGGA